UACGUAGGGUGCAAGCGUUGUCCGGAAUUAUUGGGCGUAAAGAGCUCGUAGGCGGCUUGUCGCGUCGACCGUGAAAACUUGGGGCUCAACCCCAAGCCUGCGGUCGAUACGGGCAGGCUAGAGUUCGGUAGGGGAGACUGGAAUUCCUGGUGUAGCGGUGAAAUGCGCAGAUAUCAGGAGGAACACCGGUGGCGAAGGCGGGUCUCUGGGCCGAUACUGACGCUGAGGAGCGAAGGCCAGGGGAGCAAACGGG
rnacentral:rRNA from 1 species